UACGGAGGGUGCAAGCGUUAUCCGGAUUCACUGGGUUUAAAGGGUGUGUAGGCGGGUAUUUAAGUCAGUGGUGAAAUCUCCAGGCUCAACCUGGAAACUGCCAUUGAUACUAUUUAUCUUGAAUAUCGUUGAGGUUGGCGGAAUAUAUCAUGUAGCGGUGAAAUGCAUAGAUAUGAUAUAGAACACCGAUUGCGAAGGCAGCUAACUAAGCGAUUACUGACGCUGAGGCACGAAAGCGUGGGGAUCAAACAGG
rnacentral:rRNA from 1 species